rnacentral:rRNA from 1 species
UGAGGAAUAUUGGUCAAUGGGCGGGAGUCUGAACCAGCCAAGCCGCGUGAGGGAAGAAGGCCCUAUGGGUCGUAAACCUCUUUUGUCAGGGAACAAAAGCGAGUAUGUAUACUAGUCUGAGUGUACCUGAAGAAAAAGCAUCGGCUAACUCCGUGCCAGCAGCCGCGGUAAUACGGAGGAUGCGAGCGUUAUCCGGAUUUAUUGGGUUUAAAGGGUGCGUAGGCGGCGAUGCAAGUCAGCGGUAAAAGCCCGGGGCUCAACCCCGGCGAGCCGUUGAAACUGCAGUGCUAGAGAAGGCGAGAGGUACGCGGAAUGCGCAGUGUAGCGGUGAAAUGCUUAGAUAUUGCGCAGAACUCCGAUUGCGAAGGCAGCGUACUGGCGCCUGACUGACGCUGAGGCACGAAAGCGUGGGGAUCGAACAGGAUUAGAUACCC